UGGGGAAUUUUGGACAAUGGGCGAAAGCCUGAUCCAGCAAUGCCGCGUGUGUGAAGAAGGCCUUCGGGUUGUAAAGCACUUUUGUCCGGAAAGAAAUCCUUGGCUCUAAUACAGUCGGGGGAUGACGGUACCGGAAGAAUAAGCACCGGCUAACUACGUGCCAGCAGCCGCGGUAAUACGUAGGGUGCAAGCGUUAAUCGGAAUUACUGGGCGUAAAGCGUGCGCAGGCGGUUUGCUAAGACCGAUGUGAAAUCCCCGGGCUCAACCUGGGAACUGCAUUGGUGACUGGCAGGCUAGAGUAUGGCAGAGGGGGGUAGAAUUCCACGUGUAGCAGUGAAAUGCGUAGAGAUGUGGAGGAAUACCGAUGGCGAAGGCAGCCCCCUGGGCCAAAUACUGACGCUCAUGCACGAAAAGCGUGGGGGAGCAAAACAGGAUUAGAUACCCUGGUAGUCCACGCCCUAAAACGAUGUCAACUAGUUGUUGGGGAUUCAUUUCCUUAGUAACGUAGCUAACGCGUGAAGUUGACCGCCUGGGGAGUACGUCGCAAGAUUAAAACUCAAAGGAAUUGACGGGGUCAUA
rnacentral:rRNA from 1 species